CAAACUUUUUGACGGCGUGAAGUUGAGCUUUUCACUGAAUAUUUGCCAAAAUGUUGAAGAAGGCGACCAAAUUGAAAUCUAUAAUUAAAACGAAAACGAAGCGUAACAUAAAUGUGAGGCCGACGUCAGAGGCAAUGAUUGAACUCCUAACGCUGCUGUUUUUGAGCAGCCUGGCUGAGGAGGCGAAGGCCAAAGCUUUUGAAGAGAAAUCUGCAACGAUCCGAGCUCAACAUCUCAGAGCAGUGUCCAAGGCAAUGCUGAAAAAAGCACGGGGGUGAAGACAGCGAAGUGCAACAUUUUUUUUUUUUUUUAAUAUUUAGAAUUAGUUUUCUUUCAAAACUAUCUUUUUUUUGUGUUUUUUUUAUUCUUUCCUUUUGUGUGUCUGUUUUCCUGUCAUAAGGGUUUUAUGUUGUUGUUUUUUAAAUUAAAUUCUUGUGAAUCUUGAUCAAGAUUCACAAGAAUUAGCUUAUAUAUAGCUUGUAUAUUGUCGAUCUUUUAGUCCAAAAACGUACAAUGCUAAACACAACAGCGUGCUCAUUUUGUUUAUAUCAUGACUGCUGCGGGCUUUACGUCAACCGUCCCAUUAGAAAGUGUUCAAAUCCUACAAUAAAGGCAUAUUGUACAAGCGAUAGCAUGGUGUGUUAAGCUUUGAUCUCAAACUUGUGGACAUCUCAGAGUUAGUACUUCCAGACACUCGGGGCCCCGGCUCGCUCUCCUAGCAUCCGUCACGGUCAGUGUUUCAAGCGGCAUGCUUCACAGCUCCUUCACCGGCCGGGGAGGCUCAGCCUCCUCCCAAAUUCCUCACUUCUUCACGCUACAUAGAUUAUCGGCGUGCUGAGAUUCUGUCCUGCUCAUACCUUAUCGCUGCAGGGUGCCUCGCAGGUCAGAGUUAUGAGGUUAAAUAUCUCAAUUGUAAGGUAUCGGUGAAAUUUGUAUUAUAAACCAUAUAACUAUGUGCAUUUUCUCCUAAGGCAGAGCCUUGAAUGCAGGUGGUGACCUAAAAGCUGUUUUUGGUUUGUAGUACAGUAGACUGUUUAAGCAGCAGUCUAAGUUCAACAUUUGUCUUGUUUUUAGUGUCUUAGCCACAAUAAAAGGCCAUGUACAACUUCAGUGCAUGCAUUUGUGUAAAUUUGUCACUAUUAGUCACCCGGCUCUUUUUCUUUUUUGCUCCUUUGCAUGCUGUCUACCAUCUUUCUCAUUUGCUUUCCCCUCUCUUUCUUGUUGGCAGUUAAGACAUUCCAUUGCCUCCAACAGUUAUUUCCUUGAAGAAUCUGAUCUAGCACCCCCACGUGCGUAGCCACGGUCAUGUUAUUGUUCCCAGUCAGUUUGUGGAGGUGUCACUGCGUUUGUGGAGCCCCACCCUUCCGACCUCUAAACCCCUGACCUGGCACCUGACCUGCUGUUUUCUUCUUGAUUCUUAUAUUCUCGUGACAGAGCCCUCUGACGUUUGCAUACAUUGUUUCUACUGCAUUGAUGGAUGGUGUUUGUCUGUAGCAGCUGGCUGCACAUGCGUGAGGAUCCUUUUGAGGUGUUAUUAUAUCGUCCUCCCUAGAUUUGCUCUCGUCCUUGAGGGAUUUGAGAAACACUUUUCUUUCCUCUAUCAAAAUAAAUAAGAAGUCGGGCCUCG